AGCAAUCUACUAAAAUUCAUUAUUUUCUAACCGUACACAAUCGUAUAUGACCCUGCUAUUCCUAUAUUACAACAACUCAUUCCUGAUCAAAUCUUGAAGCUAAAUAUGCAAAUAUUUUAUUUUCUAUCGUAAUAUUUUCAAAAUUUUAAAUCUUCAUCUUUCUUUUUCUCUCAUCUCUGCUAUUCUCUCUAUUUUCUCUCCUUGUACCUAGAAAAUGCAGUAGGCUCAUCCGAAAAUUGGAGAACUUCAAUGCGCAACCACCAUCUUGUCUCGUCCUAAAGAGUUUCCUUAUUGUGAUAUUUUGUAAGAUCUCUUCUUUUUUCGAAGGAAAACAAAAACUAAAGAAACUGAGAAAUUAAAGUUUCUUGAUUUGUUUCGUGAAUCGGAAUAAGUUUCUCCAUUUUGCAUUUUAGCUUUAUCCCAUUCGAGUUUUUUUUUUUUUAGUUAUCGAUUAGGUAUUUUUCAGGGAUUGAUCUUUGAGGUUCCCCCCUACCCGUGCUACCUUUGAGGUUCCCCCCCCC
rnacentral:lncRNA from 1 species